UACGUAGGGGGGCAAGCGUUUGUCCGGAUUUAUUGGGCGUAAAGAGCUUGUAGGCGGUUUGUCGCGUCUGCUGUGAAAUUUCGGGGCUCAACCCCCGAACUUGCAGUGGGUACGGGGCAGACUAGAGUGUGGUAGGGGAGACUGGAAUUCCUGGUGUAGCGGUGAAAUGCGCAGAUAUCAGGAGGAACACCGGUGGCGAAGGCGGGUCUCUGGGCCGAUACUGACGCUGAGGAGCGAAAGCGUGGGGAGCGAACAGG
rnacentral:rRNA from 1 species